rnacentral:sRNA from 1 species
UAUUUGCGUUAGGGAUUGAAGCGGCAUACUUUUGUGGCCGGAGCAAAGCGUAGGCUGCAAAAGAUAAAGCGAAAAGCCCGGCCGCAC